rnacentral:lncRNA from 1 species
AGGCAUCUCAUGCAUAGUUGUUUAUGUUAGAUAUGUUAGGUCUGCUAUCUUAAGCCAUGAGGUUCUAUAGUUUUUGGUGUUUCUUCUGACUUUUGGCAUGAUGGCUCAUUUUCCUGAGUUUAUGUUCAUUCUUUAACGUGAACACAUUUUGACUAAAGAUAUGUAUGAUUCUUAGGAGACCUGAGUUGAGGAUCUUUUCUCCAAAGAAGAGUUGCUUUUAUUUCUGCAAGAUACCAUUGACUUCCAGAACCUUCUUUGCAUGAGCAGUACCAUUUAAGCCUCUGACUCUUGUGAAAGAAUAAGUAUAAAUAUAAUUUUUUGGAGAAGACUAUCCUUUUUCUUUUCUUCUCAGAACUAUCUUAGAGGCAGACAGAUUUCCCCAUCUAUUAUUCCCUUUAUUGGGUGUGUGGAAGUGUUCCAGACCAUUUUUUAGAAACAGUACUUCCCUUUUGAGAACUGCAAUUCUGUGAGGGACUCAGGGUCACCCUCCAUCUAGAGUUCAAGUCCAAGGCCUUAUAGUUUCUAUACGGGGACCUUGGAUUUUCCAAGAUCUGGUUUCUUGGUGUUAACAUGUGUCCUGUCCAUUCUUGAUUUAUCACUUAUUUUUUUUAAUUUUUUUUCUAUUUAAAUUUUUUUUAAUUAAAGUGUAGUUUAUUUACAAUGUUGUGCCAAUUUCUGCUGUACAGCAAAGUGACCCAGUCAUACAUACAUACAUAUACAUUCCUUUGCUUAUGUUAUCUUCCAUCAUGGUCUAUCCCAGGAUGUAGUUCUCUGAGCUAUAUUUCAUUGCUUAUCCAUUGUAAAUGUAGUAGUUUGCAUCCUCUAACCCCAAACUCCCCGUCCAUCCCACUCCCUCCUCCUCCCCCUUGGCAACCACAAGUCUGUUCUCUAUGUCUGUGAGUCUGACUCUGUUUUGUAGAUAGUUUCAUUUGUGCCAUAUUUUAGAUUCCAUAUAUAUGUGAUAUCAUAUGGUAUUUGUCUUUUCUCUUUCUAACUUACUUGACUUAGUAUGAGAAUCUCUAGUUGCAUCCAUGUUGCUGCAAAUGGCAUUAUGUCAUUCUUUUUAUGACUAAGGAGUAUUCCAUUCUGUAUAGGUACGACAUCUUCUUAAUCUUGUAUUUAAUUUGAAAUUGAGGUAUUUUAUUUAAUUUUUUUUGACUAAGCAUUAUACAUAUCAUUGUGAUUUAUUUGACAUCUAAGACUCCGGUGUGAAAGGAGAUUGCCAGUUUUCCUUUUUUUUUUUUUUUUGCUUCUUGCCUUGUCAUCCUUCUCAAUGUCAUCUCCUUGCUUAUCCUUUAAACUCUAGGUACUUCAGAGUUCUGUCCAAAUCUCUCUUCUUGUAUCAUCUGACAUUUUCAAUUCUUACUUUAGUUCACAGGCUGUUGUAAUCUCUCUAAGAGCAGGGGUGGUGUUGAUAUUUUUCACCAAUAUGUCCCUAGUGUUUAGCAUAGUAUGUAGCACAUGGUAAGUAUCCAUUUCAUAUUUGUUGAAUGAAUGAGUGAAUGUAAGAACUGUUAAGGUGUCUCAAUAGAGCAUGAUUAGUUUGUUGUACUACAGGUGGGGGGGGGAGCUUGGAAUAGUAAUGGCUCUAUAAUGGAUAAAGAUUUUUAUUUUACUUUAGUUUCUUGAGGUUUGCACUUCUCUUGAGGGGCUAUAACUUGCCUUUGGAUUUGUCUUUGUCUUUAUACUGCAGGUGAUGUUGAAUGUUUUUACCCCUCCCUUAAAAAUAUGUUUGCCAGUAACACAUGUGGACAUAGAGAAUUCUAAACAGCUUUAGUUGGUGAUGGGAUUUUUCUGUCUGCUAUUUGGUGAAUAGUAGUAAAUCAUUUUUGGUCUUUUUUCCAAUUAAUAUGAAGACCUUCUAGUUUGCGCGUAACUUUAUUAAUUUGAUCGUUGGGCUUGAUGACUGAGCUUCAAGUAGAGUAGAUAAAGUGAAAUUAACUUCUGCUAAUAUUCCAAGCAAACAACACUUGAAUAUUUGGAAAAGCACUUUAAGUACAGAGAGGUAGCUGGCCAGGGUGAAAUCUGUCUUUAUCAAAUGUUGCAUGGCUUUUAGGCUAACAGCAUGGGACUGAAUUGUGUCUGGGAGAUUCCUCCCACAAAGAGAAGUAUGGAGAACAAGAUCCUGCUGGGUAGAAGCAAACCAAAGACUGACCCUUGAAAUAAAGAAUUUCUGGUUUUUCCAAACAAAUGGUGACUGACCUUGAAAGUGAGUGACUAUUAGAGGCAGUAAGGCAGGACCUGAUGCGUGUUCUCCAGUGAGCCUUGAAAAUGAUGGCAAGGAUGAUGACUUUGGGAGUAAAAGACCCUACAGAAAGGCACUGAUAGGCCUGUGGACAAAGAGAUGCUGCUGUAGGUUUCAGGAGCUGUAAAGGUAAAGCUAUUUCAACAACAGUGACAAGCUCCCAGGAGCUUCUAAAGAUGAAAAUGGUCAUUGUACUUUAUCUUGGCUAUUUUAGAGAGCUUGCUGGGUUAUUCAUUUUUCUUGCAUGUCAGAAGCUGGAGAGUUGAGUUUCUGAAGACCUUAGUGGAGAGAGCUCUUGUCAAAGUGAAUAAAAACGCAGGCUUAGCUGGCCGAGAGUUUCCCCAGAGAAACAACAUUUGAACAGCACAAAAACAAUUAAAAUGUUUAAAAAUUAUUUUAUAAUGAUUUUUAUUUUUUCCGUUAUAGCUGGUUUACAGUGUUCCAUCAAUUUUCUACUGUACAGCUUGGUGACCCGGUUAUACAUACAUGUAUAGAUUCAUCACAAGUGAUUAGACAUGGUUCCUAGUGCUAUACAACAGGGUCUCAUUGCCUAUCUAUUCCAAAUGCAGUAGUCUAUUUAGUAUUAGGAUACUGGAACGGGGAAAGGGAUCAGUGCAGACAGAGCCAUUUGGGAACAGCAGGCAGAGUCUUAACAGAACAAACCCGAAGGACAUCAGUUUCUUUUUUUUUUUUUUCAUCUUUUUGCCAUUUUUGGGCUGCUCCCGUGGCAUAUGGAGGUUCCCAGGCUAGGGGUCCAAUCGGAGCUGUAGCCACCGGCCUAUGCCAGAGCCACAGCAACUCGGGAUCCGAGCCGCGUCUGCGACCCACACCACAGCUCAGGGCAAUGCCGGAUCCUUAACCCACUGAGCAAGGGCAGGGAUCGAACCCGCAACCUCAUGGUUCCUAGUCGGAUUUGUUAACCGCUGCGCCACGAUGGGAACUCCAGGACAUCAGUGUCUUGAGCAAAAUGCUGGAACUCCUACUUUUCAUUCUUUCACGGCAUUGUCCUGAUAUAUAAGAAUACUCAAAAUGGAGAAUUCGCUUUGUGAAAUUGAAGGGUAUAUUAGCCUCAUUCCCCUAUGCGGCCAAGUACAUUUAUGAACUUAAUUAAAGUUUAGGGAAAGGAUUUACCAUCCUGGAAAAAGAAAAAAAAGUGGUAGUUGUUUCUCCUAUGUGUGUAUAUUUCACAGAUGAAUUUGCUAACUUUCAUCCUAGCUACUCGCAUUGAAAUUAUAUUUGAGCCAGGUAAUGGAAAAUAGACCCCAUAAUCAAAUUCAAAAGGAAGUUUAGUGUCCAGAACAGGGUCCAUAAACAAAGAAACAUGGGAAAAGAGGCUUUUCUUUUCCACAUCUAUAAAAACAAGAGCUUGAACAGAGAGUCACUGAGUGCGCUUCCAGCUUGAACAGUCUGUAGCGCUGAGAAUCUCUCAUUUAUUUCCUGUUUCUUUGUUGCUGUUCCCUGUACUACAGGCAAGCAAGACCACUUGGUCCUUCCCGAACACACCUCCUGCUCAUGCAUCCUUUCUCCUUUCAGGGUGCUCUUCCUUCCCAAUUCUGUCACUCAGAAUUCUACUUAUACUUUAAGGUGCAACUCAGGUCAUUGGCCACACUUCCCCAAAGUUGUCCCCAGGUUUUCUAAUUGAAAGUGAUCUCCAGGUGCCGUGCACCAAAGCACCUGUGGUUCUGCUAUCAUACUUUUCACUUACUUGCUUGGGUUAUGCUUAUUUGUUUACAUACCCAUCUACUAGAUUGCAAGUGUCUUGAAAGUCAGGGAUUCUGUUGUUAGAUUCUCAAUCACAUAUAGCAUUGUGCUUUGCAUGUGAUAGGUUUUUCUCUUUAUACAGUGAAUUGAAAAUUGAGUAAAGAAAAUGAUUUGCUGGUAGAUUAAAGCCAAGUAGAUAUAGUUACAGGAAAAUCUUAAAUUUAUGUGAUGCAUUUAGUGAAACUAAUCAACAUUUUAACCUAGAAUCUAAAACAAGUAAAUAGGAACUUUUCUGGACCUCUCUCUUUCCAAAUGGUAAGAAAUUUGGAUUAUCAAUAGAGUAAUUCUAUUAAUCAUAUCCCUUCUUGAAAAAAGCCUUCUAGAAAUCAAAAGAAAGAAAAUAAGGCGUUAUAUUCACAAAAUGCAAAUAACUUGCCCUUUAAAAUAUGUCAAAAGGAGCAUGGUUACUAGAAAAGUCUGACGUGAACUUUAGCUCAUCAAAGAGACUAGCACACAAAUGCAGGGUUGUAGUGCUAUUAUAUGAAAUUGUCAUUGUUUCUUCCCCUUCCUGUACAUUUGCUAGCUUUAAAUUCUCUGAAGUGAAAUGGAGGUAACUUGAAAAUGUCCUCAACACUUGGUCAAAAAAUGUGUCUCCAAACCCAAACAGAAAGAUUUCCAUUUUGAACUAUUUCUAAUUUAUGUCAUUAAAAUUAAGAUAUAGGAGUUCUUGUUGUGGCUCAGUGGUAAUGAACUCCACUGGUAUCCAUGAGGAUAUGGGUUUGAUCCCUGGCCUUGCUCAGCGGAUUAAGGAUCCAGUGUUGGCAUGAGCUGUGGUGUAGGUUGCAGACCUGGCUCGGAUCCUGCCAUAUGGAAAUUCCUGACUUCUUGCUCAGGAAUUUCCAUAUGCCCAUGUGUGGCCCUAAAAAAGCAAUACGUAAAUAAAUAAAGUGAAAGUGUAUAUGUAUUAGUUCUGAACUUAUUUUUCUUGAAACAAAGAAAAGACCUUUAUUUAAAAUACUGUUUGUAUUGCUGAUU